UCUAAUGAACUGUUACGUUAUAGCUGAUGUGUUGCAAACUUGCACGUUCAGUCACAUUCCUCCGGCCCAGAAAAUGAAAGCAUCAGCAAUAGUGCCGCAGGAGGGGCCUCCCGCCGACGUCGUGCAAGCCUUCGUCCGCUUCCUCCUCAGCCACCAUACGUCUUGUAUCCGCUCUAUCCUUUUCAUCAAUGACCUCACACUACAUUAUCCAAUCGUUAUCGACUUCGCGGAGCUUCUAGAGUUCGAUCCUCCCCUCGCCUACCACCUCUUCUCUCACCCCACUGACGUAUUGCCCCUCUUUGAUCAAGCCGCGCACAUCUCACAGACGAUUGUUCUUGAUGGAUCGGAGGGCAUCGAGGCUCGCGGGAGCCCUAAGAAGUUCGUCCAUGUUCGUAUCAAUGUCACCGGUUCACCUCUUGAAUGUCCUGAAACUUUCCCGAAUAUUGGUAGGCUGAGGGUGAAACACAGGGGGAUACUUCUCACUGUUAAGGGCACGGUUAUAAGGUCGGGUGCUGUUAAGAUGAUUGAGGGAGAAAGAGUAUACGCAUGCAGGAAAUGCAGGCAUAGGUUCAAAGUUUACCCAGAGCUAGAAAUUGGAAAUGCUAUAAGACUUCCGACAUCUUGUCCAUCAAGGAAUUCUAAAAUUUGUGAGGGGACAAGUUUCCAAUCUAUACCAGAUAGUAUAGUAUGCCAUGAUUACCAAGAGAUCAAGAUCCAAGAGAACACACAAGUUUUGGGAGUUGGAUCUAUGCCUCGAUCAAUACCUAUUAUCUUGACAGAUGAUCUUGUUGAUGUUGUCAAAGCUGGAGAUGAUGUCAUAAUUACCGGGGUUCUAUCUGCAAAAUGGUCCUCAGAUCUAAAGGAUGUGCGUUGUGAUCUUGAUCCCCUGGUAAUUGCAAAUCAUGUAAGGAGAACCAACGAAUUAAAAUCAGAAAUUGAAAUUCCUGAUGAUGUCAUUAAAAAAUUUGAGCAGUUUUGGUCAGAUUUUAAGGAUACUCCACUCAGAGGUAGGAAUGCUAUUCUUCAAGGAAUUUGCCCUCAAGUUUUUGGUCUCUUCACGGUGAAGCUUGCAGUGGCUUUAACACUAAUCGGAGGUGUCCAGCAUGUUGAUGCCUCUGGGACAAAGAUUCGUGGGGAAUCUCACCUUCUUCUUGUUGGUGAUCCUGGCACAGGCAAAUCGCAGUUCCUUAAGUUUGCUGCUAAAUUAUGCAACAGAUCUGUGAUCACCACUGGAUUUGGGAGCACCAGUGCAGGCUUAACAGUCACAGCUGUCAAAGAUGGAGGAGAAUGGGUACUGGAGGCUGGGGCCCUUGUUCUUGCUGAUGGUGGGCUCUGCUGUAUAGAUGAAUUCGACAGGUUCUAUAAUCAUGCAGCUAUUUCUAUGAGAGUGCAUGAUAGAGCUACAAUUCAUGAAGCAAUGGAACAACAGACAGUAAGUGUUGCAAAGGCUGGCCUUGUGACAACUCUUAGCACUCACACUAUUGUACUUGGUGCAACUAAUCCUAAAGGGCAGUAUGAUCCAGAUCAAUGUAUAUCCACUAUGUUAAGCAGCGUUUCAAACCUGUCCUGACCAAAGAGUCAGAAAGAAUAAUUUCUAGUUACUAUCAACUCCAGCGAAGAUCAGCAACACAUAAUGCAGCUAGAACUACUGUCCGCUUGCUUGAGAGUUUAAUACGGUUGGCCCAAGUGCAGCACAUGCUAGGCUUAUGUUCAGAAAUGAGGUCACCCGACUUGAUGCUAUUGCUGCCAUCCUAUGCAUCGAAUCAUCUAUGACAACAUCAGCAAUUGUUGAUAGUAUUGGGGAUGCUCUCCAUUCGAACUUCACUGAGAACCCAGAUCAAGAAUACGAAAAACAGGAAAAAAUAAUUCUUGAGAAGCUGGGAGCAAUCAAAGACUUGUCGUAAUCAACAACAUACGCAGUGUCGAGCAUCAUCAUUGAAUUCAGACAGGCUUUUUUUUUUUUUUUUUGUUAAGCUAUAAAACUAUGUUUUAGCUGUUAUUUUUCUUAUAAUAUUCUAGAGCUAUUCAUCGUAGCUUUAACAUCUGAAAUCGAUACCAUUAUAGUUUUUCCAAGAGAUAAGAUGAUGGACUUGACUCGUUUUGCGGAUGUGUUUGCAUUGCGUUUUAUCUUUGUCAGCCAGACUGAUUUAGAUUUUUGAUAUCUAUUAAGAAUUAAUAAUUCCUUAUUAUUAAAGA